CUGGCUUCUGCCGACACCAAGAAAGAAUGAGAGAGAAGAGAACAAGCGAGAAAGCAAGAAAACAGAAGAAAAGAAAAGAAGAAGAAGAAGAAGAAUGAUGGUCGAUUUGAACAGAAAUCGAGUAAACUGAUCAUCCCAGAAUCGGCAACAAGAUGGAGCUAUUAGGACAAAAGUAAGCUCUUGGUUAGAUGAUACCCACAAUUGUGCAUUCGACCAACUGCGAGUUGUCAAAGUAAGCGACAUUUCCCGCAUGAAAGCUGAACUAGCACUCUUCAGAAACAACGAUGCAGACAUUCAAGAUUAUGACAUGAAAGUGAUGUCUUCUGUGGAGUUGGUCCAAUAGCUAUCUCUGCAGCAUAGAUUGUAGGACGAGUUUAUGCUGCUAAAUAUCUGCAAGGAAAUAGUGGUCUCAACAAACUC